rnacentral:misc_RNA from 1 species
GCUAUGAAGCUUACCUUAUUAUUAUGAAAAGGAGAAAGGGCUUUUUCAGCUUGCUGCUCACUUUCUCGCUUCCGAGAGGCGAAGGGAGCCUGACUUACGGUUUCCAAGCCUGGCGCAAAGCGAAGGGAUUGGAUUUCACCUAUGAUCAGAUCAGUGGGCAACCAUAGUUUCCUUUUUUUGUGGUGUUGUUGACGUUGUUGAAAGCGAAUUUUGUUGUAGGCCUCGCUUUUCGGAGCUGCUCCCAGCUCACACUAUGGUGGAGGAGGUGCCGUGAAAAUCUAGGAGUGUGAGCAGUACGAGCUGAAAGGCUCCCAUACUGUUUGGAGGGCAGGGGGCAUAGAUGCCAAACAAACCUGACCCCUAUCUAUCGUCGUAGAAGCUGUUCCUAGGAAAGAUUAUGGUUCUUGGGUAUCCAAUCAAUUAAUUCCCCAAACCGGGGAAGCUUAAGUGGAAAUGAAAGAAUAGGGUGAGGGAAAAGGGGGGAAGCCACUAAAUUGAAGGCUUCACUCGCUCGCUCUAACGCUCGUUUAGUAGACAGCGAGUGGAGUGCAUAAGCCCCUUUAGAGAUAGGGGGGAGUACUACACGAGCUCGUAAGUCAAGUACGGAACGAGCCUUGUCUACGAAGCAGAGCGACCUCGUCUUGCUUGCUUCUGGCGAAGCUUCUAGAACUAGAUAAUAGGCAUUUUUUUUAUGGUAGGAAAACGACUUUUUAGGCCGACUACUACAUAGGAGCGAUAGCGAAGCCAAGCCGUAUAAAGGCGAGCAGCCCUUAUAGCAAUAUCAAACGGCCUACUUAUAGCCCUCCCCGGGGACUUCAACGGGUCUUACAAGCUCAUAAAAAAAAUGGCAAUUCUUCACGUUUUCCUCAGAGAGUGGGAAUGAAUUCUAUUACUUGAUUGACAUUGACAGAUAUGUGUACCACACCGAACAAGCAAUAUGCCGAUAUGCUUGAUGUACCAGCCAAGCCAGCUCGACCGUAUACAGUAUAAGGGAUUCGCCUUUGCCUCAGACAAAAUAAAAACGGAUUGAACAGGACAGGACAACCGGGAAGGGAAGCCUGACAUAGAUAUUGAUUUGAACAAAGGAACUGAAACCGGUACCAGAAACCAAACAAGAGAUGGAAUUCCAGAUUGAACAGAUGACCGACCUACAAUAAGACGAAAAUAUGAUUCCUAAUUCCAUUCUCUAAGACGAAUUAAAGGGAUGUCUCUAAGCAGCCAAGGCCAAGAGCAAGCAAGAGUAGUCCUAUCUGCCUAGAAGGCAUUCUCUUUAUCGAAUCCUAUCAAAUCUUUCUAUUUUUCCUUUGAAUUACUCAUAUAUAUAUCCUAUGAAUUUUAUUUCGCACUGGAAACUAUUCUAGGAGAAGUUCGAAUCCGUUCCGUUCGGAUAUUGAUCGGUCUUGGUUUGACAUGGUUUACGCGUUACUGGUUUCCGGAAGAGUUAAUAUCUCCAUUAGCUAAACCCUUUCUUACCCUGCCUUUGGACUCGUAUUUUGUUUGUACACAAUCAACGGAGGCCUCCUCGACAUAUGUUGCAACGUCUUCAAUAGCAUGCUCUUACUUCGUCUUUCCUUUAAUAAGUCAUCAAAUUUGGUGCUUUUUGAUCCCCAGUUGCUAUGGGGAACAAAGGACGAAAUACAAUCGAUUCCUCCAUUUAAGUGGUUCUCGCUUCUCCUUGUUCCUGUUCCUAACUCCUCCCCGGGUAGUUCCCAAUGUUUGGCACUUUCCAUACUUCGUGGGUGCAACAUCAACAAAUUCGCUCAUGAUCAAGUUACAACCUAAGAUCUAUGACUAUAUUAUGUUAACUGUUCGUAUUUCGUUCAUUCCAUCGGUAUGCUCCCAGGUACCUGUAAUUGUGAUCCGUUUGCCAGAACCGAGGGGUCUUUCUGUGGAAACCUUCACGAACAAUCGUCGUUUUUUGAUGGUUUUUCCGCUUCUCACAGCUGCUCUUUUCACACCUCCGGAUAUCUGGUGCCAAAUCGUCGCCCGUUUCCUUAUUUCUUUGAUAAUAGAGUUGGCUAUCUUUGUGGCAUCGAUUGUACAAGUUCGUGAAGAGGGCUGGACGAGUGGAAUGAGGGAGAGCGGCUCGAUCGACAAAAAAGAAGAGUAGCCCCCCUAGAACCUGGCAAAGUAACUAUCAAUGAAUUCCCGAGCAAUUCUCAACCAACAUAUGCGAUUCAUCCCCGUAAAGAUUAUAACACACAGAAGACUCCUUACCUUAGGAGCGGGAUGAGUGAUACAUCCGGUGAGCGCCGGUGAAGAACGCAAGCAAAGCUGAGCUUUUCGGAGCGAACCAAUCUUCCGUACCGACCCCUUUACUCUCUCUCUAUAAAAAAAGCUUGCGGGAAGCGCGAAGAGCUAAGCCACUAAUGUCGUGGCGAAGGUUAUACCUCAGAAAGUCAGCGAAGAAGCCCACGGAGCGGUUUCAUAUGUGUUAUAUCCUUUCGAUCGAGCGACAACUUCUAAGGAAGGCUUUCAUUCCCCUUUGAAAGAAGUAAAAAAAAAGAGCGCUAAGGAAACACCAAUGGAGAGAGAGAAGGUUGAACAAGUUCUUCUAGAUCUCAUGGAAUAAGGCAGAAUUUAAAACAACACUUUCCAUCUCUUGCUUUCAUAGAAAAAAAGAAUUUAGGAGAUGAAAUCCUGAUUACAACAUUACCGCAGGCCAAAAUUGAAUUUGGAAGAGCAAGCCAGAGAAAAGAAGCGUUGAGAUAAUAUACCUUUCAUCCUAAUCUCAUCUACUGAAAAAGGGGGCCCUCUUGAUCACCUGAAGAGAUUUUUAGGCAGAAUUGGCAAAAUUAUUACCGUGAGGAUUGAGCUGCCAAAAGAGAUUAUCCCCCGGGCUGGAAGAUAAGAUUUAUGCAGUCCAUAGAAAAAAAAAAAAAAAGAAAAACAAGUAUUCUGAAGCCAAAUGCUCUUGGACGGGCAGUUGAAUAGGGAGAUAAAUCCUUUUUUCUCCUUCAUAUUGAAUGUAGUCUAUCACUUUGAGGUCAUGAGAACCUUGUGAAUUGAUAUAAAUUAUGGCAUGCAUCCCUGAGGAGAGUGGCACGGCCAAACAUCAUCCCAGAAGCGAAUCAGCUUACCAUUGCCCAACCAAAGUCUAGCCCAAGUUCUGCCUGAAAGUCUCUCUGUACCAAAUAAUACCUUUCUAGAUGCAGGAUAUUUAAGAGGUGGGUUGGUCAAUCCAUUUUUUCCAUUGGAGAGGUACUUAGCAGCCA